rnacentral:rRNA from 1 species
GACGAAUGCUGGCGGCGUGCUUAACACAUGCAAGUCGAACGACGUGGCGAACGGGUGAGUAAUACGCGUGUAACCUGCCCUCCUUUUUGGGAUAAGCCUUGGAAACGGGGUCUAAUACCGAAUAAAGGGGGAUGGGCUCGCGGCCUGUCAGCUUGUUGGUGGGGUGAUGGCCUACCAAGGCGGUAACGGGUCGCCGGCCUGAGAGGGUGCCGUGCCACAUUGGGACUUGGAUACGGCCCAGACGCCUACGGGGGGGAGGAGUGGGGGAUAUUGCACAAUGGGGGUAAGCCUGAUGCAGCGACGCGUCGUGGGGGAUUAAGGCUUUCGGGUUGUAAACCUCUUUCGGUAACGAACGGGUAGGUGGAGAAGAAGCGCCGGCUAACUACGUGCCAGCAGCCGCGGUAAUAC